rnacentral:siRNA from 1 species
AGCCGUUUUGAACAUGGGUUGU